AGUGAACGCUGGCGGUAGGCCUAACACAUGCAAGUCGAACGGCAGCACAGUAAGAGCUUGCUCUUACGGGUGGCGAGUGGCGGACGGGUGAGGAAUACAUCGGAACCUACUUUUUCGUGGGGGAUAACGUAGGGAAACUUACGCUAAUACCGCAUACGACCUACGGGUGAAAGCAGUGGAUCUUCGCACCUUGCGCGAUUGAAUGCGCCGAUGUCGGAUUAGCUAGUUGGCGGGGUAAAGGCCCACCAAGGCGACGAUACGUAGCUGGACUGAGAGGAUGAUCGGCCACACUGGAACUGAGACACGGUCCAGACUCCUACGGGAGGCAGCAGUGGGGAAUAUUGGACAAUGGGCGCAAGCCUGAUCCAGCCAUCCCGCGUGGGUGACGAAGGCCUUCGGGUUGUAAAGCCCUUUUGUUGGGAAAGAAAAGCAGCAGGUUAAUACCCCGCUGUUCUGACGGUACCCAAAGAAUAAGCACCGGCUAACUUCGUG
rnacentral:rRNA from 1 species